rnacentral:lncRNA from 1 species
UUACCGCUGUUUAAUCCUGCGGUUGGUUUCCUGACGCACCAACUGCUUUCAAAUGAAUGGGCCUGGAUCAAUGUUGCUUGUAAACACUUUUACUGCAGAAACACAAUUACCUCCAUCUUCAAAGCAAAAACUAAGCACUACAAACAGAGUUGCCAAGUUUCGGAAAUGCUUUUGUGUGCCAGACCAGGCAAUGAGGCCACAAGGCACACAAUUUUUUACAAGGGGAAAGCAGCAGUUUUAAUAAAAUUACCCCUAUUUUCUAAGAGCCACACACUUGCUACACAAAGGAGAAAAAGCUGUGACAACAGAAAAUGCAACUUCUACUAGAACACAAAGCAAAAUCAGAAGAAAAGAAGAGCUAUGACACUACAUAACAGGAAUGAACUGCUUAAAUAACAAUGCGCACCUUGGUACAAAAUGUAGUUAACAGUGCAUCACAUGCUCAAGUAACAGCGGGACAAAACAAAACUGAAAACAAAUGAAAUCGCAUCUUUCAUGCCACAGCCAUUCAAUGCCACUACACUGUUCUUCAAUACUGUGUGUUUUUUCCUGAACCUGCAUUGGGCCAGACACUCAACGCAAGUGAAAAAACUGCAGUUGAAGAACAGGGCAGCAACAACUGAAUUAACUAAGCACAAGACAGUAUCGUACUGGUGCAAUGAAGAUUGCCAGUCAAAUAACGUCAUUAAAGUCUAAAAGCUUUCUCAAAAAACCACCACACCACUGGCCUUAACUCCAAUUUAGCAAGAAUUACAAGAGUUCAGUGCUGACAAUGCCAGUUUCCCAGAAGAGUGCGAACCGUCGCUCCCUUUCCAUCUUCCAACAUUCUGGUUUAUGGUAAAAUAAGAAUUACAAGAGUUCAGUGCUGACAAUGCCAGUUUCCCAGAAGAGUGCGAACGUCGCUCCCUUUCCAUCUUCCAACAUUCUGGUUUAUGGUAAAAUAAGAAUUACAAGAGUUCAGUGCUGACAAUGCCAGUUUCCCAGAAGAGUGCGAACCGUCGCUCCCUUUCCAUCUUCCAACAUUCUGGUUUAUGGUAAAAUAAGAAUUACAAGAGUUCAGUGCUGACAAUGCCAGUUUCCCAGAAGAGUGCGAACCGUCGCUCCCUUUCCAUCUUCCAACAUUCUGGUUUAUGGUAAAAUAAGAAUUACAAGAGUUCAGUGCUGACAAUGCCAGUUUCCCAGAAGAGUGCGAACGUCGCUCCCUUUCCAUCUUCCAACAUUCUGGUUUAUGGUAAAAUAAGUGCAUAGAUUCACACAAUUAUAGCCACUAUAAGUGCUGGAUCAGUUACCAGAUAUUUCGUUUCUGUCAUGUCGGACAAUAUUAAAAAGAGCAGCCCAAGGCCUACUUUCGGACUUCAUAUAAAAUAAAGGAAAGCUUUGCUAUUUAAAAGAACACUGCCAUCAUUGACAUAAAAAGCUUGCCAUACGUUGAUUUCAAGCAUUGGAUGUUUAACACAGUUGUGUGCUGGGGUUACAUGUCUUUCUGGGUGUUUGAAUGUAUAUAAACUUAAAAACAAUACCUUAGUAUUCAUUCAUGCAUAAACUACGGCAAAUAAGUUGAAUAGCACUGGUCCUAGAAACCUUUCCAUUAAGAGCUCUCACUGCAAUGCAGAAGCAUUAUUGAUAUGCUUUUGCCCAUUCCUGUACAUUUCUCUCCCCUAAACUACAUAA